rnacentral:rRNA from 1 species
AUGAACGCUAGCUACAGGCUUAACACAUGCAAGUCGAGGGGCAGCAUUUUAGUUUGCUUGCAAACUGAAGAUGGCGACCGGCGCACGGGUGAGUAACACGUAUCCAACCUGCCGAUAACUCCGGAAUAGCCUUUCGAAAGAAAGAUUAAUACCGGAUAGUAUACGAAUAUCGCAUGAUAUUUUUAUUAAAGAAUUUCGGUUAUCGAUGGGGAUGCGUUCCAUUAGUUUGUUGGCGGGGUAACGGCCCACCAAGACUACGAUGGAUAGGGGUUCUGAGAGGAAGGUCCCCCACAUUGGAACUGAGACACGGUCCAAACUCCUACGGGAGGCAGCAGUGAGGAAUAUUGGUCAAUGGGCGAGAGCCUGAACCAGCCAAGUAGCGUGAAGGAUGAAGGCUCUAUGGGUCGUAAACUUCUUUUAUAUGGGAAUAAAGUUUUCCACGUGUGGAAUUUUGUAUGUACCAUAUGAAUAAGGAUCGGCUAACUCCGUGCCAGCAGCCGCGGUAAUACGGAGGAUCCGAGCGUUAUCCGGAUUUAUUGGGUUUAAAGGGAGCGUAGGUGGAUUGUUAAGUCAGUUGUGAAAGUUUGCGGCUCAACCGUAAAAUUGCAGUUGAAACUGGCAGUCUUGAGUACAGUAGAGGUGGGCGGAAUUCGUGGUGUAGCGGUGAAAUGCUUAGAUAUCACGAAGAACUCCGAUUGCGAAGGCAGCUCACUAGACUGUCACUGACACUGAUGCUCGAAAGUGUGGGUAUCAAACAGGAUUAGAUACCCUGGUAGUCCACACAGUAAACGAUGAAUACUCGCUGUUUGCGAUAUACAGUAAGCGGCCAAGCGAAAGCAUUAAGUAUUCCACCUGGGGAGUACGCCGGCAACGGUGAAACUCAAAGGAAUUGACGGGGGCCCGCACAAGCGGAGGAACAUGUGGUUUAAUUCGAUGAUACGCGAGGAACCUUACCCGGGCUUAAAUUGCAACAGAAUAUAUUGGAAACAGUAUAGCCGUAAGGCUGUUGUGAAGGUGCUGCAUGGUUGUCGUCAGCUCGUGCCGUGAGGUGUCGGCUUAAGUGCCAUAACGAGCGCAACCCUUAUCUUUAGUUACUAACAGGUGAUGCUGAGGACUCUAGAGAGACUGCCGUCGUAAGAUGUGAGGAAGGUGGGGAUGACGUCAAAUCAGCACGGCCCUUACGUCCGGGGCUACACACGUGUUACAAUGGGGGGUACAGAAGGCGGCUACCUGGUGACAGGAUGCUAAUCCCAAAAACCUCUCUCAGUUCGGAUCGAAGUCUGCAACCCGACUUCGUGAAGCUGGAUUCGCUAGUAAUCGCGCAUCAGCCAUGGCGCGGUGAAUACGUUCCCGGGCCUUGUACACACCGCCCGUCAAGCCAUGAAAGCCGGGGGUACCUGAAGUACGUAACCGCAAGGAGCGUCCUAGGGUAAAACUGGUAAUUGGGGCU